rnacentral:rRNA from 1 species
GACGAACGCUGGCGGCGUGCUUAACACAUGCAAGUCGAACGGUGACCCAGGGCUUGCCCUGGUGAUCAGUGGCGAACGGUGAGUAACACGUGGGCAACCUGCCCCCUGACUUCGGGAUAACUCCUCGAAAGAGGAGCUAAUACCGGAUACGACCACUUCGGACAUCCGAUGGUGGUGGAAAGUUUUUCGGUCAGGGAUGGGCCCGCGGCCUAUCAGCUAGUUGGUGGGGUAAUGGCCUACCAAGGCGACGACGGGUAGCCGGCCUGAGAGGGCGACCGGCCACACUGGGACUGAGACACGGCCCAGACUCCUACGGGAGGCAGCAGUGGGGAAUAUUGCGCAAUGGGCGAAAGCCUGACGCAGCGACGCCGCGUGAGGGAUGAAGGCCUC